rnacentral:rRNA from 1 species
UACGUAGGGUGCGAGCGUUAAUCGGAAUUACUGGGCGUAAAGCGUGCGCAGGCGGCUUUGCAAGUCAGAUGUGAAAUCCCCGGGCUCAACCUGGGAACUGCAUUUGUGACUGCAAGGCUAGAGUACGGCAGAGGGGGAUGGAAUUCCGCGUGUAGCAGUGAAAUGCGUAGAUAUGCGGAGGAACACCAAUGGCGAAGGCAAUCCCCUGGGCUCAUACUGACACUGAGGUGCGAAAGCGUGGGGAGCAAACAGG